AAAUAUUGACAGCUCCUACGUUCCAUUCGAAAAUUAAGGAUGCGUAGGUAGUGGUUUUACUCCCAAAAAUAAACAAAAUUAAUAACAUUCGUAUAAAAUUGUAAAGCAGCUUGUUUCUUAAAUAUUGUAUAAAAUAAAUUCCGAAAGAAGUUAAUACUUUCCGAGAUAAUGAGUGUACCCAAUUAAAUGGAUCACCCGGUAUAGUACAGUAAAUAAAACAUCAAAACGCAUACGGAUGAAUACUUUAAAUUCUGCCUUGUAGCGUGUUUAUUUUUUAAUAGCAUUGUCUAAUAACUUUUAAUAGGCGUCUUACUCCUCCUUUGCUCUCAAAAAGGAACCGAC